UACGUAGGUGGCGAGCGUUAUCCGGAAUUACUGGGCGUAAAGCGCACGCAGGCGGCCAUUUAAGUCUGACGUGAAAGCUCCCGGCUUAACUGGGAGAGGUCGUUGGAAACUGGGUGGCUUGAGGCAAUGAGAGGGGUGUAGAAUUCCUGGUGUAGUGGUGGAAUGCGUAGAUAUCAGGAGGAAUACCAGUGGCGAAAGCGGCACCCUGGCAUUGGCCUGACGCUCAUGUGCGAAAGCGUGGGGAGCGAACGGGAUUAGAAACCCCAGUAGUCC
rnacentral:rRNA from 1 species